rnacentral:rRNA from 1 species
UACGUAGGGGGCGAGCGUUGUCCGGAUUUAUUGGGCGUAAAGAGCGUGUAGGCGGUUCGGUAAGUCUGUCGUGAAAUCCUGAGGCUCAACCUCGGGCGUGCGAUGGAUACUGCCGGGCUAGAGGGUGGUAGAGGCGAGUGGAAUUCCCGGUGUAGCGGUGAAAUGCGCAGAUAUCGAGAGGAACACCUGCGGCGAAGGCGGGUAGCUGGGCCGACACUGACGCUGAUGCGCGAAAGCCAGGGGAGCGAACGGG